rnacentral:rRNA from 1 species
GACAGAGGGGGCAAGCGUUGCUCGGAAUCACUGGGCGUAAAGGGCGCGUAGGCGGGAUGGCAAGUCGGUCGUGAAAUCCUUCGGCUCAACCGAAGAACGUCGGCCGAUACUGCCGUUCUUGAGGGAUGCAGAGGAGAUUGGAAUUCCCGGUGUAGCGGUGAAAUGUGUAGAGAUCGGGAGGAACACCGGUGGCGAAGGCGGGUCUCUGGGCCGAAACUGACGCUGAGGAGCGAAAGCGUGGGGAGCAAACAGG